CUUGAUUUCAUAUCUCCUCUUCAUUUUCCUUCUUCUGCCCAAACCUUCGUUCUCUGAGUUUCAAUCAGUUUUCUUUCUUUCACCUUUCGAAAUUGGUUCAUUUUUAUUUUUAUGCCGCCAUCAUUUUUUUGCUCCAAAUCUUCCUUUCCUCUUGCUGAUCGUUUAAAAGUGGCUUCCAAGCGCUCCAAAAAAUCUUCUUCUAAAGCUUCCUCCUCUUCUCCAGCGAUCAACCAUGUCAAAAGCCCUAAAACUCUCAAAGAGAAAUACGAUGAGGCGUGCACAGAUUUAAAACGCAAGGGUUGCAUUCCAUCAACUAUUAAUCUCCACCGUUUAUCGGAGGAAGAAAUCAAGAAAUGGCGCUUAGAGGACAUUUGUGCUCCAGACGAAAUCAUCAUGGAUUCCAAACAGCUGGAGUUUAUUUGUCUCCCUCUUCCUCCUCUUUUAAUCCACUUACUGGUGACUACGGAAAUCCAUCUGAUGCUUGUUCCUAAUGACAUACAAUCAGUGUGCGGUGCUGCCAUGAUCGACCCUUUCUUCAAAACGUUUAUUAAUGUUCAAGAUAUCUUCUCCUGCUUUUCGCGUACUUUUCAUCCCUGAAAUGCGGAUGAUCAUCCUUUCAACACUUACUACCUUUCUCCAAGGAAAAAACGCUUCAUGUUCAAAGACCACAUAACGUCCAACAAACAUUGGGAUGAGCUUCCUUUCGCAGUUAGCAGAGAAUGGUUCCUCUCCUAUGUGUGCCCAAGGAUAAUUUCUCCUUGCCCAGAGUUUUUCAACCAGAAAUCGAAUGGCCUUCCAAUGUUUCUUGGUUUGAGCAGCGUUAUCCCAACUCCGUCUUCUCAAAGUCGUGCGUGAGCAUAAAGACUAUGCUAUUUCAAUUGAUUGCAUGUUCAAGAGACCUUUCAAGAGCCUGAUGCUUCGCCUCAAUUUUCCCCACAUCAUUGAUCGUCAAGCCACCUUCUUUCUAGCUGAUUGUAACAAUCAACUAGAGCAGCAGUAUUACGACAAGUAUUCCUUGUGUGUGAAAGCCUACACUGAAGCCCUUGUUUUUCCAUGGACUACCUUUCCACGCAGAAGCUCCUUGUUUCUACCGAUUCUGUGCAAACUGCUGAUGUUGCUAAAGUGAGUUCCGACUCAGAAGCUAAUCGCGGGGUUAACUCUGAGCAGUGUGCCAAUUCCCCUUUGGUAUCUCUCCCAUCAAUCGAGCAUUCUUAAUCUUCUCCUACUGCCAAUCCUCUUCCCACUUUGGUAAUCACUCCCUCUAGUGUUGACCCUUCACUGGCGAUCAUGUCGAGUACUAAUGCACAUCCUGAUGUAGCAGACUUCAUGGUUGCACCUCCUCCACCCACUCCCCAUUCUAAAAGGAACACUGUUGCAACCAAAGGCAAAGGUGUCAAAGAUUUUUCUUCCAAAUCGAGCAAAAGUAAACGUCUUUUGCAAUCUGCGCUUGCUGAUCUGUCUGAGCUUCCCCCUACUCUCAAGUGCGCCAAACUUCCUUCCAUUUCUGAUAACAGAAAUGAAAUUUCUCCUUUGGCUUCCUCUACCAGCUCAUUACCUCAUAGUACUAGUAACUUGCCUUCUUCUAAAAUUCCACCUCUGGCCUCCCUCCUCCCACAUUCUGAUCAAGUAAGAAGAAUUAAUCACAUACUUCAAAGUAUGCUUACUAGAGCUCAAAAUAUCACAACACCACUCACUGGUUCAGAUUCUCUUCACCCUCCUCUUUUGAAUGCAAUCCAUACCACUUUACCAGAUUCUAGUUAUGUUCCUUUUUUUAAUUCAAUCAUAGUCUCUACCACCCUUACUCCACAUUCCAAUGUGCCUCUGCUAGGACUGAUUCCUCAAAUGUCAUAUUGGCUUCUAUUCCAGCUAGUGACAUCCAAAUUCCAUGUGUUUCUACGCCAAAUGCUCCUAUUAUUUCUGCUCAUCCUGUCGUACCAACUUCAGUAGGGUGCAUUACUCCGUUGAGCGCUCUCAAGCAACAUUUGAACUCUGUUCUUCUCAACACCUCAAACCUUUCUGCAUUCGCUACAAGUGAUAGCCCCGGGGUUCUAAAUGUCAAAGAUUUUCAAUUGGUACAACUCUCGUAGGAUCUCCCCGAUCUUUAUAACUCUUAUGACGCUACUGUAGCUACUAUUGAAGCAUCGCUUCCCGCGACCCCCACUUCUCAACUCGCUGGGGAUGCUAUUUUCACCAUAGCUCCAACUACCACUGUCUCAAUUGCUGUAAGUGCUACUCCAACCAUUAUCUUUACUAAUAUGGACAUUCACUGCCCCUUCAUGCCCCCCAAUGAAAUGGCUAAGCAAAAUGAAGUCGAUGCAAUUGUUAAUCUUGUUUGUGUGGGCGGUGAACAAACUGAAACUAUUCCCGUUUCAACAACAUCUCCAUCUGAACAGGUAAUCCCAUCAUGCAGUUCAUUUGACGAAGAGAAAAUUCUGGAGUUGCUUCCAUUACAUGUUGUACCGGUAGCGCUUCAAAUGGGAGGCUCUUUAUCCCUGGCCUUUGUUUCUAAGCAGCUGGAAGCACAUCUCUCUAUGGAGUUGCAAAAAACUCAUGCCAACGAGGACAUGGAUGCUCUCUGCCAUCGCACUGAGAUUGACAUUGCGCUGCAUAGGUCCGCUCUGAGGACAAUUUAGACCGUGUGAGUCAAAAUAGAAUGGCAUUAUUUGAAGCACAGAGUCAGCUUAAACAAGCUGAGGAAGCCAUUCAAGCUGCCCAGGUGACAUAAACUAUGUGCAACAAGCUUAGAACCAAAUGUCAAGAGUUAGAGGCUAAAUUACCAGCCAAUGGUGAUUGGCAAAAGAAGCAUGAAGAACUCGUGGCCACUCAUGCUCAAUGCACUGCACAGGCUGAGAAAAUGGAGGUAGCGCACAAAGCUGCUGUUGAAAAUAUGCGCGAAGCUUGUAAAGCUAAAGAGGAUUUAUGUGCCAAUCUACUUUCAUCAAAAGCUACCUUGGAAAAAGAUGUGGAAACGUUUAAUUCACAAGCCAAGUUAGCUAAAAUAGCGUUUGACUGUAAAGAGAAAGCUUAUCAAUCCACACUGGCUGAUUUAAAGAAAGCUCAGAAAGAGAUUGAUCAACUUUUCUCUGAUCAUGCAACAGAAAUAACGCGUAUGAAUGAGGAGAAGCAACAACUAAAGUUGGCAAUCCAAGACUCUAAAACAAAACUGGAGGCCAUUCAACUUUAAUGUACCACAGUUCGAAUAAUAGAUAGAUACUGCGCGGAACAGAAGAUGAGCAUCAUGGGCCGCACUAACUUAGGCUACUAUCUAGAUUGUCUAAUCGAGCAUGACGAUCAGAGCUUACAGGAUAAGAAGGAUCUACUUCAAGAGUACUGUGAUGACCAAAGAUUAACAGUUGGUCAAUAUAGUGUGGACUUUUAUAUAGAAAAAUUUAGCAAUAUUGACAUCUGCUACCCGGCUGAACAUAUUCAAGCUUUGAGGGAAACUAGCGACCCAGCUAGGUUUAUAAAUGACGCAAGUAGCGUACCAUUCCAAGGUGGUACUAGCGAUAUGUCAGAGUCCUCGGCGCAUAAAGAUGUACCAGAGUCGUCUGCAUUGAAGGAUGUACUAGAGUCAUCUACGCAGAAGAGCACUGUUGAAUCAUCUACUAGGGACGUUGUUGGGGAAUCUGGAGUUUGCAGCAAGUCCCAAACGAUAGAAAUCAAUGUUCCAACUAGGUGUGAUGCCCACGUGGAUUACACCAAUGUGCCUCCCCCGCAGGAACAAACUGAGCAAGGGAACAACAGUAGUUAGUAUUAAUCUAAGUUUUGUAAAUGUUAUGCUAGUUUUUUUGUUCACGUAACUUCCUUUCUACUUGUUCCUCUAAAUAUUGCGUAUGCUCUUUUGAUUUUCAACGUUGAAGUAGACAAUUACUAUCAUUAUGUUAUUGAAGUUGUCAUAGUAAUUAAAUCUAAUAUUUCAUUUCA